UAGGGAAUCUUCCGCAAUGGGCGAAAGCUUGACGGAGCAACGCCGCGUGAGUGAUGAAGGUCUUCGGAUCGUAAAACUCUGUUAUUAGGGAAGAACAAAUGUGUAAGUAACUAUGCACGUCUUGACGGUACCUAAUCAGAAAGCCACGGCUAACUACGUGCCAGCAGCCGCGGUAAUACGUAGGUGGCAAGCGUUAUCCGGAAUUAAUGGGCGUAAAGCGCGCGUAGGCGGUUUUUUAAGUCUGAUGUGAAAGCCCACGGCUCAAACGUGGGAAGUCAUUUGAAACUUGAAAACUUGAGUGCAGAAGAGGGAGGUGGAAUUCCAUGUGUAGCGGUGAAAUGCGCAGGGAUAUGGAGGAACACCAGUGGCGAAGGCGGCUUCCUGGGCUGUAAAUGACGCUGAUGUGCGAAAGCGUGGGGAUCAAACAGG
rnacentral:rRNA from 1 species